rnacentral:tRNA from 1 species
GCCCCCAUCGUCUAAUGGCUAGGAUAGCAGAUUCUCAGUCUGUGGAUACGGGUUCGACUCCCGUUGGGGGUA